AUGCUAUCACCUCUCAAAAGACUAAGUGUUUGGAAGGCGCUAAGCAAAGUGAUAGAUACUUUUGAUAAACUUGUAUUCUGUGUUAAGGAGGAGGGAAUUGUGAAUUAUAUCUAUGACAGAGGCCAAUCUGACUGGACCAUCAAUGGUGGCAUGGAAAGGUGGCAGUUAGCUGUCAUCGGAAAGAGCACCAGUUGUUUUUACAGCAAAAGGAAACUGUGAAAGAAGUCUUUCUGCCUGUUGGAACUCUCAAGACAGCUGCAAUCCACAUCUUAAGGCAUUUUUGUUCCCAUCUGGUUGUAUCAUGUAGUUUUUGUGAUUACCUAAGAAAUUAAUUUCACACAGAUUCCAUAGACUGGUUUUGUAUACGUGGAGUAUCAUUUAAUGGGGAACGUUUUAUUAUUCAUAAAAUAUGUUGAAUAAAUGGACACAGAAAGUUACA
rnacentral:lncRNA from 1 species